CCAAUCUUCAUCUACCUUGUUCUCCACCUAGUGCGCACAACAUAGGAGAAAAGACAACCAUCAGGUUGCUUAUUUCUUCUAGCCAAGAAGAUGAAUCAGUCACCCCAUGUGCACAAGGCCGCGAGCUCCUAGGGAGAAUACCCCAAACACCUAAGCCCAUCCUCUAUUAUUCUUCUCUUGAUUCAAUCGUCCAUCAAGCCGAAAGCUCGCAGGCUCUUUUCCUCCCCUAUUCCCCACAAACCAUGAGUUAUCUAAGAGGGGAACGACCAUUCAAGUUUCCAUUUUUCCCUGUAUGGUUCGGCUGAGUGGCAGCAGCCAAGGAGAGCACAACAUGAGUCCAUUUUUCAUGCUUGUCUUGUUCGGCCGUGAGUUACAUGCAAAGAGGUGUAGAAAUUUCUCUACUCACUUGUGUAUCCUUCCCUCUUCGAUUUGAUGAGGAGAGUCAAUUGCAUGCCGGUCACCCUUUCCGUUCUUAAUGGAACUCCCCUGCAUGCAGCGGCAAACCCGACUUAUGACAAGAAAGACCAGCAAUCUUGAGUUCUGACUCAACUUCCUUAAUUCGCAAGAACAAUUUUCACCCUUGGACAGUGGGAAUGUGAGGGUGCUGCCCUCUUUUGGUUGAGGCUCACGAACUGAUUUGGGAGCUAGUUGGGAACAUAUGCAAGGUGCGCGUAACCCUUGAGUGUGGACUGAUUAUUGCUGCUAUUUGAUUAAUAUUUGUGGCACGCGAGGUAAGUGUCUGGUGGCAUUGUUAGUAUAUGGAUGUCCUAGAGACAAUCUUUUGAUUAGAUUAGGACAUAUGUGGACCAUUUAUAUUGUCGCAAAUAAAUAAAAGCACUUUUUAUCCUGUUUCAUAUUUUGUCUCAAUAUUAUUGUUAAUAUUUUAUAUGAGUAACUGGAUA